rnacentral:ncRNA from 2 species
GAUACCUACUAGGGGUGCCCAAUUGCCGGGCUGAGAGAAAACUUAAAAGUUUUUAACCCUUUGGACCUGAUCUGGAUAAUACCAGCGUAGGCAAGUAGUCAAAGGAUAUU